rnacentral:rRNA from 1 species
CCAGACUCCUACGGGAGGCAGCAGUGGGGAAUAUUGCACAAUGGGCGGAAGCCUGAUGCAGCAACGCCGCGUGCGGGAUGACGGCCUUCGGGUUGUAAACCGCUUUCGCCUGUGACGAAGCGUGAGUGACGGUAAUGGGUAAAGAAGCACCGGCUAACUACGUGCCAGCAGCCGCGGUGAUACGUAGGGUGCGAGCGUUGUCCGGAUUUAUUGGGCGUAAAGGGCUCGUAGGUGGUUGAUCGCGUCGGAAGUGUAAUCUUGGGGCUUAACCCUGAGCGUACUUUCGAUACGGGUUGACUUGAGGAAGGUAGGGGAGAAUGGAAUUCCUGGUGGAGCGGUGGAAUGCGCAGAUAUCAGGAGGAACACCAGUGGCGAAGGCGGUUCUCUGGGCCUUUCCUGACGCUGAGGAGCGAAAGCGUGGGGAGCGAACAGGCUUAGAUACCCUGGUAGUCCACGCUGUAAACGGUGGGUACUAGGUGUGGGGUCCAUUCCACGGGUUCCGUGCCGUAGCUAACGCUUUAAGUACCCCGCCUGGGGAGUACGGCCGCAAGGCUAAAACUCAAAGGAAUUGACGGGGGCCCGCACAAG